rnacentral:lncRNA from 1 species
UAGGUGCCUGGCACAACGGCUCCUCAUACUCGAUCUUCUUCAUUUCUAGCCUCUUUUUCUCCUCUCCAUUCUUCUGCAUUUUUUUAGAUUUUUCCAUCACUCCCUUUCUUCCCUAGAUUUUCCUAACUCCUCAUUCUUCGUCUAUUUAAACUCAUCUCACCCUCUUCUACUCCAACGCCUCCUUUGAAUAAAGCUUUAGCUUAACCAAUGAAAACAUCCAUAUUGGAAUUUUCAAUAAGAACCCAAAAUAAGGCCUUUGGAAUUUCAGGCUUUUUCAGCGAAGGACUAUAAAGCAUUAACACAUAUUCCAUCAACCUUUAGUUCAUCCUAUUGUUCUCAGAUGUAUGCAUCACUCUCAAUUGAAGGUAAAACAAUCCUAACAACCUUAUUAUCCUCCUAGACCGCCAGAACCACCUCCGGCCGCUGCUUUAACUCAGCAUUCGGACGCUUUAUAGCAUGCUUAAGCUUAUUUUCCCUUUUCAAGUCCAAGAUUUCACUAUAAGCAAGCUUGUGAGGAAGAUCCUUGACCUAUGUUUUCAAUUCCUCGGGUUAGUGUUCCCUGAACGCUUCUUUUCAAAUACUUUAACUGGUAGUGAAGGCUGGGACAAUGAAGCUGAAAUUACUGUUAAUGUUACGACAGCUUCAAAAAAUUAAAUUCGAUUUUUCUGAAUUUUGAUUCUUCUUCCUUCGCUUGACAUAUUAUUAUGCACUUCCUAGAAAGACAUGAAAUUGAGGGUUGGGAUAUGUGUUGGGUGUACAGGAGAAUUGCGAACAAGAAUGAAGAAUUGACAACACUGGCCAUCAUAUGAAAUUAAUUAAUUAUUUCGAAUAACACAAGGGCUGCAUUGGGCUUUUGAAAACACCACAAUUUCAAAGAGAAUGAUUUUUAUACAUUCUGUUACUGAAAGGCGCGUAUAUUUGUGUGUAUCUAUCUAUACAAGAAUAGGAUGUAGAGGAGGGUGGUGGUUGACGACCAAUAUGGCUAUCCGGUGGUGGGGUUGAUGGAGGGAGACGAUGAUUUUUGGGAUGCAAUCCUUCUAUCCAUCUCUGACCCGUUUGAGUAUCUGUUUGGCAAGAAAAGAAGCCCAAUGGGCCUUCUGGG